UAUUGGACUAAGAGCCAGCGAGUGCCUGACCUUCAUUAUUUUAUAAAAGCUGAAAGUUUCUCUGCAUAUUGUCCCCAACACAGGGAGGAA